AAUAAUUGCUAGUAAAGUUCUUUUCUAGUUUUUCUGAUCGUCCUCUGCUGAAACCUCUUGUAUCAGUUCCUGUGGUGGCUGGUACUGUGUCCUGAGCUGCUUCCAGUUCCUGGAGGUGCAAGAUCACUUCUACUGCAGCAGCCAGGCUCCUUGGCUGGGACUCUGUAAUUCCCUAACAUGGCUUGACCUGCAAUCACUUUCCAGAUCUAAUACCCAUACAGUCUCAACAAGAAGUCCUAAGAAGAUCAGUUCUGUGGUCUGCUGUUCUGCUCGCAGCAGACCAGUGCAUGUUAGGAUGGAAUUCCAACAAUGCCACUUUUCAGCUGUGCCAUUUAAGAAGAUGGGAAUGGCUAUGGGUCUGGAAUGGUGGGAAUGGAGGAGCUUUGUGCUGCCUCCUCCGGCAGAAGAAUUGUGCCACAGCAUCCACAUCCCUGAGGGACUGUCUGGUCGCUCCCAUAGAAUGCGGGAGUGUUGUAAAAUAUCCUCAUUAUUUGUGAGGAAAACAAACAGGCUGGAUGUUCAUUGAUGUAAACACUGUUAAUCUUACCAAGAAAGUUUUAUGCCUUUUUUUUUUUUUCUUUGCUACAUUACAUGCUGUUAUGCCUAGGUGAAAAUACCAAGCGCAGUGUUAUUUCAACAGAUUCAGAAUUCAAAUGCAUAUGGCUUUAAAAUGUACGAUUUCAAGCUGUUUUGCCUAUCUUGUGAGCUGUCAGGGUUCUUUUUAAGCAGAACAUUGCACUCUCUGUGAACAAAGUAGCUUCUGUUGUGUUGGAACAAUGACAUAAUUUUAGGUAAAACACUGAAAUCUCAUUUUACCUGGAUAGGGACUCUAGAGAUUUUCUCAUUUUAUGUUUAUUUCCUUAGACAGAGGCACCUAUCUUCCUUGUUCGAGGUCAAAACUUGGUUGUACAAAAGUUCUUUCAGACUUCAUGCCUAUCUUAAGUAAAAUCUACACUUGAUUUCAGACUCUCCAAAUUGCAGUGUCUGACCUCGAGUACUUGAGUUCUGUAUCUGGUCCUGGGAGUUAUAAAAGAGAAACUGUAGAAACCUUGCUUUCAGGCAAGGAAACAAGGCAAAGAAAAGAAAAAUAUGCAGGGGGUGAAAGAUGUUGAGUGUGGGCUUUGGCUUCUGUCUGGGGAGUGCUCACCUUCCUGCCUGUGUGCACAACUACUGUGUAAGAACCAGGCAUCUCCACACCAAGUUCUGACUUAGCUAAGAAUCUUGUUGAUGAUGCUUGAUGCGGUGUUGCACACAGAAGUGAAUCUGGGAAGGAGCACUUUUAUUUUGGAACUUAUUUUGGUACGUAAUAAUGAUCAAAACAGCCUACUCUUGGACUGUGCUUAUGGAAGAUUAGAUGAAGGUCAAAGGUUUCCAUCUGCUCUCUUUGUUUUGCUUUUGUUUUAUUUUUUUCUCUAAGUCGCAAGGCCUUUCGUGUGGCUUUCUAAAGCAAAACCUAGCAUAAUACACAUGCCAGUCAGAAACUGUAAUACCUAUUAAUGGUUAUCUGUGAAAGGAGUCCUGUGAAUUUAGUAUUUAUACUAUCUGUAGAGUAAAAGAGUGGUGUAAGGUCAUCAUUUGUGGUACCCAACUCGUUUCAGUGUUUGUUAGGUUUUGGUUUUAAGAGGUGUUUUCCACGACUGUCUGCUGGCAGCCUGCUUCCAGGCCGUGACAGCUGUUACACCACGCUCAGAUCACUAUCCUGGAACGAAGCAGGUAGUUUUCUUCCUGAAGUAAACAGCAAGUUCAAAUAGUAAACUGUGGUUUUAACAUACCCUUGUCAAAGAGGUUAAUUUGCCCCCUCUACAGUGGAGAGGACCUCAGCUAAUUGAUGGUGAAUGGGAACGGUUAAAAUUGCAACUAAAUCCAACUGGCCUGAGAAAAGCAGGCCUGGUGAUACUUGAAUAAGGGAAAGCAGGAGGUGCUGCUGCAGUGAAGUACACAGUUAUGGAAAGUCCCCGUUAUCUUGGGGUGGUGUGCUUCUAACACCUUCUGCCAGCCCCCCUGCUUAAUCAGGUUCACUACAGCCAAUCACACAGGAAAGCCUCUGGGCAGGUUUUUAAUAUCUCCGGAGAAGGAGACUCCACAACAUCUCUGGGCAGCCUGUUUUAGAGCUCUGAAACAUGGAAGCACAGGACUCCACUUCUGAACGCCUCUGUCUUAGGAUAUGGAUGUUAUCUGACAGGGGUGAUGUAAAGCUUCAGUUAAAAUCUGCAGAAUGUUUUGAAGUCUUAAAAGGAGUACCACAAGUAAUAUUUAUACGUCUUUACCUCUAGUCUUUGUUACAGGAUGACAUGUCUGUCCAGAGCAGAACUACAAAGAUCCAGAUGAAAGAAGACAUUGCUGCUUACAGUUAGAAAGACCCAAAUAAGAUACGGGGAAUAUGAGCUCUCAAAGCUGUGAUGGAUUUAGAUAAAGAGGCACGUUCAUUAUUCAGUGAAAAUAGGCGUGUCUUUGUGGGUUCUGGAGUUUUUGUUUGUUUUUGUUUUGUUCUUUUGGUUUUGAAGUAGAGAACCAGUGGGCAAUUUUCCUAGGAGAAAACUGAAGAACAGAGAUGGAGUGUUAAAAUAUCCAAUGCCGUUCCCAUUACACAUCUGCAAGUGCAGGGAACAGUUACUUGUGUUAUACACCUUGUUACCAUCAAGUAGGUAAGUGUGCCAGGACUUGGGAUUCUUAGGUUAAUUCUUGUGUUUGUGUAUGUGAUAACUUGUCCUAGAAUACAGCUUGAAAGAUAGUAGUCUCAGCCAAUCAGUGCUGCUUUCUUUAGUUCUUUCCAGUACCACAGCUCAUACUGUUGGUAAUGAGGAAGGGAUACCACUCAUGGAGACCUGGAAAGCUUGAAAAGUGAGUCCAUGAGAACCUCAUGAGGUUCAACAAGGCCAAGGGCAAGGUGUUGCACUUGGACUGGGGAAAUCACAGAUGUGAGUACAGGCUGGGAGAAAAAUCCAUUGAGAGCAACCCUACAGAGAUGGACCUUGGGGGUCCUGAUGUGCAAAAGGCAGGACAUGAUCCAGCAGUGUGUUUUUGCAGCCUAGAAGGCCAGCAGUAUCCUGGGCUGCAUCAAAAGAGGUGUUGCCAGCAGGUAGAAUGAGGUAAUUGUCCCCUCACAAAGAAUAACCUUUGCCCUUGUGAGGCCCCUGUGAGAUAUUUUGUCCAGGUCUGGGACCCCCAGAACAGGAAAGAGACGAGCUUUUGGAGGUCAAAAAGGAUGGUCAGAAGGCUGGAGCACCUUUCCUAGGGUUAUUACAGGCUGAGGUUUUCUAUGUUGUCAGCAAUUUGAAGUCUUUCAGAAACAUCAGAUUAUAAAUGAUCCAGAAAACUUCAUUAAAGCUUCUAAUUUUUACCAAACUGACCAUGCAAAUUAGCUAGUGUGGAAAUGAAAGAGCUACAGCAGAAACGCCACAUCAUUCUAUUUGUACAAAUUUGGAAAUGUAGUCAGAAACUGACUUUAGUUCCCUUUUAACUAAAAGAGCUCAUUUCUUCUUCAAAAUAUAUAUUUCCUGUUUAAAAGUUCAAAGAAUGACCUUUCACCAUCAGCUGCACAUAUUCAAACCAAUAGGAGAAGUCUUUUAUAAACUUUGAGACUGAGGCACGGCAAGAAGACCAUGUGUGAAGUAUUGAAGAUGUUGUGGGAGAGCAGCAAAAGCCAGCAAGUUAUCAGAUGUUUUCAAAUCUGGGAGCUGAAAGGCUGAAAUUGCUGAUAUUCAUGGAACUUGGAAGGACCAUCCAGGCUGAAAUUGCUGCUCCACUGGUUCCACACUGCCAAGCCGCUACAUUCCAUGCCUGGGAGCCAAAGGAGCUUCACGUCUGUGUCCCAGACGAGAUUACUGCAUUCUCAUUGGGAAGAUAAUAUUGCUUGAUUUAUUCCUUCCUUUUGAUGACCAUUUGAUGGCUACAUAAGAAGUUUUUGGCAAUAGAGACUCUUAGAAAGCCUGUGCUGCUGCC